CACAGGUGCUGCAUGGCUGUCGUCAGCUCCGUGUCGUGAGAUGUUGGGUUAAGUCCCGUAACGAGCGCAACCCUGUCCUUAGUUACCAGCACGUUAUGGUGGGCACUCUAAGGAGACUGCCGGUGACAAACCGGAGGAAGGUGGGGAUGACGUCAAGUCAUCAUGGCCCUUACGGCCUGGGCUACACACGUGCUACAAUGGUCGGUACAAAGGGUUGCCAAGCCGCGAGGUGGAGCUAAUCCCAUAAAACCGAUCGUAGUCCGGAUCGCAGUCUGCAACUCGACUGCGUGAAGUCGGAAUCGCUAGUAAUCGUGAAUCAGAAUGUCACGGUGAAUACGUUCCCGGGCCUU
rnacentral:rRNA from 1 species